UCCCUGGUGGCUCAGACGGUAAAGCGUCUGCCUGCAAUGCGGGAGACCUGGGUUUGAUUCCUGGGUUGGGAA
rnacentral:tRNA from 1 species